UCGUACUAAUGGCCGCUUCCGACGACACGUGGCUCCCGAACGAUUGGACUCGAUGGAGGUGCUCCAAAGCUGGAUUGAAGAGCCUCCUGGUGUCCGCGGUCGACUCCGACACGUGUAGCGCAUCCGCGCGGGUCGUACCGCAGGUUCUCCCUUCUCCCCUGCUCCGCCCCCCUCUCCUCUGCUGUUGCCGUCCAACCGUGGUCGGACCUUCGCACUGUCCGAUCACUCUCUUCUCCUCUCCCUCCCAACGCGCCGCCAUUACAACUGAGAAGGUGCAACCGAAGCCGAGGGGAGAUGUUUCGAAUUUCCGCAGACCAGGAUCGGCUCCGGCUGAAGCGAAAGAUCGGAUGAUUUUAGGCUUUAGAGCGGGAAAUUUCGUCGCCAAGGAAGAAAUGACGUCCGAACCGGCGGAGCAGCAUGAUGGAUCUGCGGAAACUGCUGCCGACGAGGAGGGCUGGGUGCCGAGGGUCGACAUGGUGUUCGAGAACGAUGAGAAGGCCUACCUUUUCUACUGCCUCUACGGCAUGCGGAUGGGGUUUGGCGUCCGGAAGCAUCUGGUGAAGCGGCGGUCCUCUGGGUCGGUGUACUGCCGGGUGUUCUCCUGCUACAAAGAAGGGUUCUGUAGGAGCCUCAAGGAGGGGAAGAAGCCAAAGCCGAACGCCAGGAGCGGCUGCCAAGCUCACAUGACCAUCCGGAUCUUGGACAACGGUGGAUUUCGCGUGAGUGAGUUCGAGCCGCAGCAUAACCAUGAUCUAGCUCCCGAGGUUCCAUUGCUUGUCACCGAUUCAACUAGUGGAUCAGACACAACACGAAAAGCUGGCGAUAAGAACGCCCUAAAGCAAGCGAUGGUUCGGCGAAGUCUUGCAAAUUUUGUGCCGCUGAAAUCUAUCAAUGCCACAAAGGUUGAAGAUUUGGGAACUGCUUUGAGAUAUAUGCAGCGAAGAGUGCCAGAGACCCGCUGUGGUUACUCCUCUACCAAAACAGGGGAGGCGCAUCAUUGCAUUGAUGAUGCCCAGCACGAGACCUUGGUGCCCAAGGUCGAUCUGGAGUUUGAGGAUGAUGAGGAGGCCUACCUGUUUUAUAUUAACUAUGCUACCAGCAUCGGAUUUAGUGUUAGAAAGCAUCUAGUGAAACGCAGAGCCUCGGGCGUGGUUUAUUCCAGGACUUAUGUUUGUCACAAGGAGGGAUUUCGUCGAAAGAAAGAUGAGCAGAGGAAAAGGUGUCCAAAGCCGUAUGACAGAACGGGUUGUCUUGCAUCCAUGACCAUUAAGAUCACGAAGAAUGGGAGGUAUCGUGUGUCAGAAUUCAUGCCAAAGCACAAUCAUCCACUAGUAAUCCCAUCCAAAGCUCACUUAUUCAGAUGGCGUUGGCGUAGGGGGAUGCUUAAAUCUCAGGCUGAUUUAGUGGAUCUUGAUGAUGAAUUUGGGGCAGUGUCAGAAACUAUGGAGGAACAAAUUGAUGCACCGAGAGACAGUUGUCGUGAUCCCAUUUUUUCUUCUGUAAAUUGCAAGAAUUACAUUCCAUCCAAGCGGACAAACGAUGUUAGGAUUGGAGAUGUUGGAGCCAUGAUGCAAUACUUUCAUGAGAAACAGAUUGCUGAUCCCUCCUUUUACUAUGCAUUGCAGCUGGACAGGGAUGACCAAAUAGCAAAUGUUUUUUGGAGUGAUGCCAAGUCUAUAGUUGACUUUGAAUACUUUGGUGAUGUUGUCUGUUUUGACACAUCAUAUAAGACGAGUGACUAUGGUAGGCCAUUUGCACCCUUCAUUGGCGUAAACCAUCAUAAGCAAGCCAUCAUAUUUGGUGCUGCAAUGCUUUAUGAUGAAACAGAAGAAUCUUUCAAAUGGUUAUUUCAGACAUUCAAGGAUGCCAUGAACGGAAAACAACCCAAGGUUAUCCUGACAGGCCAAUCUAAGAUGAUGAGUAAUGCAUUAGCUGUGAUGUGGCCAGGUACAACACAUCGUCUUUGUGUGUGGCAGUUGUACAAUGAUGCUACCAUGUACCUAAAUUUCAUCUUCCAAGGUUCAAAAACUUUCUCUAGAGAUUUCAGUAAAUGCAUUUAUGAUUAUGAGGAUGAGGAAGAGUUUUUGUCAGGCUGGCAAACUUUAUUGCAAAGUUAUGAUCUCCAUGCGAAUGAAUGGUUGGCUAGUCUAUAUGAAGAUAGGAAGAAAUGGGCGCUGCCGUACGAACGACAAAUGUUUUGUGCAGACAUGACAUCCACACUGGUUAGUGAAAAUAUGAACAGUGAGCUCAAAGAAUAUUUGGACCCAAAACUCGAUCUUCUGGACUUCUUUAAACGCUAUGAAGAAAUUGUCGAUAAGCGAAGAGAUGCUGAAUUAGAAUAUGAUAUCCAUGCACACCAAUGUAUUCCUAAAUUGCCUUUUUCCCGAAUGUUGAGACAGGCUGCAAAUAUGUAUACGCCUGCUGUAUAUAAGACAUUCCAAACAGAGUUUGAAUUGUCCAUGGAUUGUAUGGUAUAUUGUUGCGGACAAGAAGGGACAAUGUUUCGGUACAAGGUUACCAUUGAGGAUAAGGCAAAGGAAUACAUUGUUGAAUUUGACUCGUCAAAUGGUACAGUUGCAUGCAGUUGCAAAAGAUUCGAGUUUGUAGGUAUUCAUUGCCGUCAUGUGCUUAAGACACUUGAUGUUAUAAAUAUUAAGGAGUUGCCACCGCAUUAUAUAUUGAAGCGGUGGACUAAAGAUGCAAAGGUGACAAACCUACAUGAAAAUCAUGGAAUAGCAGUUAAUGGGGAAAACAGAUCAACUGUUGGAAGGCGAUAUAGCUCUUUGUGCUCCAUUCUGAAUAAAAUUGCAGUAAGAGCUGCAGAAAAUUUGGAAUCGUAUAUGUUUAUUGAGAGCUUAUCAGGCCAACUUAUGGACCAAAUACACCAGAUCAUGCAAACUGCAACUUCUGGAGAUCCUGACGAUGGAAUUUCUGGGUUCUAACAGGUGUCACCAAACAUUUCAGAAUGGAUCAGUCAGCUGGCAAUCGCUGCUGGCUGAACUACCAGUCACGGUGGUUGGACGCGUGAGACUUCGAUGUUGGAUUUUUGUCUCUUUUGCCCCCUUAUUAGAGGAAGAGCGCUAAAUUGAUGGGGAAGGGAAUUGCAUGUAAGACUUUCCAUUUGCUUGCUUAACGAUCAGAGUCUCUAAAUUUGUGAAGUUAACAUGAGGUAUGAAGUUACACAAGUAAUACUGGAAGCGCGGCCAACAAGUUGAUGGAUAUUUAUGGAGUAUACAUGCGCAAGGCUGGUAUAUUAAAGCACUUGCUUUUAAGUGCUAUGCUUGUGCAUCUUUAUUCCUUUGCUUUUAUUUUGUUCCCAUAAUACCUAACUUACCAACUUUGAAAUAGUAGUCAGAGUGGUAUUUUUGUUAGAUAAUAUGAUUUGCAGAAGAACAGUAUGACCAACAGAUCAACUGUCUCAAUGCCUACUAUUUGUCUAGUUUUCCUAAGCCUUUUCCUGAAGUCCAUGAUGAGUCUUGAUGGUUAAGUCGAUUGUGAUUGUAGAUAUAUGUUAAUCUAAGUCUUAUUUUCCAUGAUGUAUGUUUUGGCCUAUCUGUCCUUGGUUACAUUUGGUGAGUUACUCCCAACCAUUCUGAGUAUAUAAACAUAUAAAUUGUAGCAAUCUCAAAUUAUCAGUGUCAGCAGUUAUGAGUUAUUGUUUGA